GAGUUUCUCUCAGUGUUGCUGUUUUGAGCUGUUGGUUUUACUGUAGGAGCUCGACAUGACUGGCUUCUCCAGUCUGAGUUCAACCAUUGUCAUCGGAGGAGCUCAGGAUCUUGUUGGUGAGAGAAGCUGUGGUUCAGUUUGGGGAGGCUGGUCCAUACAUGGAGCAUCACUUCCUGGCUCUGGAAGGGAAGAUGGAGAAACUUUUCAUGCUGGCUUUCUGAUUUCAGGUCAGAUCAUAAUUGUGUUACCUGGAGACCUACACAACUGAUUAUUUUCUUAUCGCCACCAUAAACUGCAGCCCUGCCAUGCCACCCUGCCUUGGAGCCAACUAAAUACAGACUAAUACUUCAAAAACUAUAAGAAAAAACCUUUCCUUUCCCAACUUUGGCAUGAGAUAUUUUUGUUUCAGCGAUGAGUAAAAAAUAACUAAGACAGACAGUA